rnacentral:lncRNA from 1 species
UUUUAUUUUACUUCUCGCUGCAUAAUGAUAUGAAAUUCACAUUAAUUAAAAUAAUUUGAAUCGAGAAUUAUACUAUUAAAAACAAAGUGCGGCUACAAUUUUCACCCUUGUUUAAGGAAAUAAUUUCAAAUUCAUACUCAAUGAAUAAGUAGAUGAUCAAAGCUAUAUAUACAGCAGUCCAUCAUGCACUCUGGAUGUUGAGUAUCAUUAUUACUGGGAUUUUGCACAGCAGGUGCAUUAUCUGCAUCAUUCUCAACAAGUUGGGCCAAUUUAUUUUCGUACCCCAAGAAAGUGCCAUGUGUUUGGUGUAUGUGCAGAAGGAUCAGCAACAGUUGCACCUGCACGUGCCAUACAGCACUGGAAAAGGAAAGUGUUGAAGACUUGAAGAAAAGAAAACUUAUCCUAGAAAUACAGUAUCUUGAAAAAAAAACUUAAAAUGUAAAACAAAUGGAAUAAAUAUGUUCAUAUGAUAAACAUUUUUUUUUUCUCAAGGUUGGAAUUCACGCUUUGCUUAUUAAUCCGAGUGUCACUGUGUUCGCAGGCACUUAUAUUCUCAAAGUUGGAAAUUCACUCUUUCUUCACUUACCAGAGUGUCAGUGUGUUCGGAGGAAUGUAUAUUAUCAAAGUAGAAAACUACAUUUUAUCGCUUAUCUGAGUGUCACUGUUCGAAAUUCACACUUUGCUAAUAAAUCCGAGUGUCAAUUUGUUCCGAGGUAUGUAUAUUCUCAAAGUUGGAAAUUCACUCUUUCCUCACUUAUCCGAGUGUCGAUGUGUUCGGAGGUACAUAUAUUAUCAAAGUUGACAAUUCAGAUUUUAUCACUAAUCUGAGUGUUACUGUGUUCAGAGGCACUUAUAUUCUUAAAGUCCGAAUUUCACACUUUGCUCAUUAAUCCGAGUGUCACUGUGUUCGGAGGCACGUAUAUUGUCAAGGUUCGAAAUUCACACUUUGCUUACUAAUUCGAGUGUCAAUGUGUUCGGAGGCACUGUAAAUUUUUCCGAGUGUCCUUGUGAUUAGAGGCACGGUAAAUUAGCAAUUUCAAUUAGUAGGAAAAGCUAACAUGUGUUCAAAGUUUCAAAGCCAUAUAUCAAACAGUUAACAGACAAAAUAUAGAAUGGUAUGCA